rnacentral:rRNA from 1 species
CACGGGGGGAGCAAGCGUUGUUCGGAAUCACUGGGCGUAAAGGGCGUGUAGGCGGUUGGGUAAGUGAGAUGUGAAAUCCCUCGGCUCACCCGAGGACCUGCAUCUCAUACUGCCCGACUCGAGUAUGGGAGAGGAUGAGGGAAUUCCUGGUGUAGCGGUGAAAUGCGUAGAUAUCAGGAGGAACACCGGUGGCGAAAGCGCUCAUCUGGCCCAAUACUGACGCUGAGGCGCGAAAGCUAGGGGAGCAAACGGG